AGUCCGGCCCUGCCCACACGGCACCCGGAGCCGGGGACCCACCAGCACCACCGGGGUGAAUCGAUCCGUACGGCCGCCUCAGGCGGACGUCAGGACCGUAGGGCAAGCCUUCCGUCAUCGACACCGCCCGAACCCGACAGCUAACCCGGUAGGCGGUCCACGGAAGGAGUU
rnacentral:sRNA from 2 species